AUUGAACGCUGGCGGCAGGCCUAACACAUGCAAGUCGAGCGAGCGGCGGACGGGUGAGUAAUGUCUGGGAAACUGCCGGAUGGAGGGGGAUAAAUACUGGAAAAGGUAGCUAAUACCGCAUACCAUCAGAUGUGCGCAGGUGGGAUUAGCUAGUAGGUGGGGGAACGGCGCACCUAGGCGACGAGCCCUAGCUGGGCUGAGAGGAUGACCAGCCACACUGGAACUGAGAAACGGUCCAGACUCCUACGGGAGGCAGCAGUGGGGAAUAUGGCACAAUGGGCGCAAGCCUGAUGCAGCCAUGCCGCGUGUGUGAAGAAGGCCUUCGGGUUGUAAAGCACUUUCAGCGGGGAGGCGUUACCCGCAGAAGAAGCACCGGCUAACUCCGUGCCAGCAGCCGCGGUAAUAC
rnacentral:rRNA from 1 species